AGCGUAGGCGGACAUUUAAGUCAGGGGUGAAAUCCCAGAGCUCAACUCUGGAACUGCCUUUGAUACUGGGUGUCUUGAGUGUGAUAGAGGUAUGUGGAACUCCGAGUGUAGAGGUGAAAUUCGUAGAUAUUCGGAAGAACACCAGUGGCGAAGGCGACAUACUGGAUCAUUACUGACGCUGAGGCUGAAAGCGUGGGGAGCAAACA
rnacentral:rRNA from 1 species